rnacentral:rRNA from 1 species
UACGUAGGGGGCAAGCGUUGUCCGGAAUCAUUGGGCGUAAAGCGCGUGUAGGCGGCUCGAUAAGUCUGCUGUGAAAGUCCAGGGCUCAACCCUGGGAUGCCGGUGGAUACUGCCGGGCUAGAGUCCGGAAGAGGCGAGUGGAAUUCCUGGUGUAGCGGUGGAAUGCGCAGAUAUCAGGAGGAACACCAAUAGCGAAGGCAGCUCGCUGGGACGGUACUGACGCUGAGGUGCGAAAGCGUGGGGAGCGAACAGG